rnacentral:rRNA from 1 species
CAGCAGCCGCGGGAAUACGUAGGGUGCGAGCGUUAAUCGGAAUUACUGGGCGUAAAGCGUGCGCAGGCGGUUGUGUAAGACAGGUGUGAAAUCCCCGGGCUUAACCUGGGAACUGCGCUUGUGACUGCACAGCUAGAGUAUGGCAGAGGGGGGUGGAAUUCCACGUGUAGCAGUGAAAUGCGUAGAGAUGUGGAGGAACACCGAUGGCGAAGGCAGCCCCCUGGGCCAAUACUGACGCUCAUGCACGAAAGCGUGGGGAGCAAACAGGAUUAGAUACCCGAGUAGUCCCUGUCUCUUAUAC